rnacentral:rRNA from 1 species
AAUAGAUACCCCGGUAGUCCACGCCGUAAACGAUGAGUGCUAAGUGUUAGAGGGUUUCCGCCCUUUAGUGCUGCAGCUAACGCAUUAAGCACUCCGCCUGGGGAGUACGGUCGCAAGACUGAAACUCAAAGGAAUUGACGGGGGCCCGCACAAGCGGUGGAGCAUGUGGUUUAAUUCGAAGCAACGCGAAGAACCUUACCAGGUCUUGACAUCCUCUGACAACUCUAGAGAUAGAGCGUUCCCCUUCGGGGGACAGAGUGACAGGUGGUGCAUGGUUGUCGUCAGCUCGUGUCGUGAGAUGUUGGGUUAAGUCCCGCAACGAGCGCAACCCUUGAUCUUAGUUGCCAGCAUUUAGUUGGGCACUCUAAGGUGACUGCCGGUGACAAACCGGAGGAAGGUGGGGAUGACGUCAAAGUCAUCAUGCCCCUUAUGACCUGGGCUACACACGUGCUACAAUGGAUGGUACAAAGGGCUGCAAGACCGCGAGGUCAAGCCAAUCCCAUAAAACCAUUCUCAGUUCGGA